rnacentral:rRNA from 1 species
UACGUAGGUGGCAAGCGUUGUCCGGAAUUAUUGGGCGUAAAGCGCGCGCAGGCGGUCCUUUAAGUCUGAUGUGAAAUCCCACGGCUCAACCGUGGAAGGUCAUUGGAAACUGGGGGACUUGAGUACAGAAGAGGAAAGCGGAAUUCCAAGUGUAGCGGUGAAAUGCGUAGAGAUUUGGAGGAACACCAGUGGCGAAGGCGGCUUUCUGGUCUGGUAACUGACGCUGAGGCGCGAAAGCGUGGGGAGCAAACAGG